rnacentral:rRNA from 1 species
AAGGUUAGGGGCUCAAAAACAAUCAGAUACUGUUGUAGUCUUAACAGUAAACUAUGCCGACUGAGGAUCAGACAAGGCUUUAUAUAAUGACUUGUUUGGCACUCAAAGGGAAACCUAAAGUUUAGGU